GUCUACAUGGUGUAUUGGUGCACACUUUCCUUUUAAAAUAGGAGAGAGGAACAGGUUCAACUCCUGUUGUUGACG
rfam:Crassostrea gigas strain 05x7-T-G4-1.051#20 contig14871, whole genome shotgun sequence.